UAGGGGAACCUGCGGCUGGAUCACCUCCUUUCUAAGGAUGGUUCUUCAGAAGCUUGCUUCUAUCGAACCGUUUUAGAAACAUCAGUGGCCAACAGAUCGCCAGAUCGUUGAGCUGCAUUGGCGGGAUUUCGCCGUCUUCGUUUCUCUUUCUUCGCGGACGAACACGCGCUGGGCCUGCAUCGAGCAGGAUCCCACGGUCCCUAACGGGAUAUGCGUUAGGGGCUUGUAGCUCAGUUGGUUAGAGCGCGCGCUUGAUAAGCGUGAGGUCGGAAGUUCAAGUCUUCCCAGGCCCACCACUUUCAGUGAGCAUUCGUCUUCUGGUUACGGGGCCAUAGCUCAGCUGGGAGAGCGCGUGCUUUGCAAGCAUGAGGUCGUCGGUUCGAUCCCGUCUGGCUCCACCAGAUGGUUUGAUCACCGAGAUCUUGUACCGUCGUCCGCGAAACAUCACUUCGCAUCCUGCUAGUCUGGAUAGACAGCAAGAUGCGUGUUUUCUGACAUCGUAAAGAGGAGAUCGAUCCGAGUUGGGUCGUGCAGCAGAUUGUUGCGCGGAUCCUUCAUUAUCUCCGGAUCAUUUUCGGCGCUCGCUCUCAGCCGUGAGGUUGAAUGCGAGUUGUAAAAUGAUCCUUUUAGCGAAGCUUGACCGCCUCGCUAUCGGAACGAUCUUACGAAGCAAGCUGGUCUUUCUAGUCAAUGUCCGGCUGCACGUAGCAUUCAUCGAGGGUGCGCGCCUUAGAGACUUCGGUUUCUCGGCAAUCGUGCAGACAACAUUCUGCCGAGUGUGUGGACAUUGAUAAUGAGAGCA
rnacentral:tRNA from 1 species